rnacentral:rRNA from 1 species
AAGCAAGCCACGGCGAAGCGUUGUACGGCUCAUUAGAUGCGUUCUCAUGUAUCUGCUGUUACCCCAGUUGAAUAACCUGAGCAACUCCCACGCUAAUGCGUGAAUCCGAGUAGCCUCAGUACGAUACGGGCUUAGUCCGUGCCGAUGGACAGCAGAUCAGGUUCGCGUGCAUCACCUUGACGGUAGGGUAAUGGCCUACGGUGGGAUUAACGCACACGGGGUGUUAGGGCACGACUCCGGAGAAUGAGCAUGAGAGACGGCUCAUAGUUCUAAGGAAGGCAGCAGGCGCGGAAAUUGCCCAAUGUACCGUUGUGUACGAGGCAGUGACGAGGCGUCGUGAGUCACUUAGGUGACAUUACGAUGAGUGAGGUGUACAGACCCUCGCAAAUGCAAGUCGUGGGAAAGCAUGGUGCCAGCAGCCGCGGUAAUUCCAUCAUGACUAACUCAUUCUUACGGUGCUGCAGUUAAAGCGUCCGUAGCUGGCGGCCUGCCGACUCGAGGAACUCUCGACGCCCAACGUAGCGAGCGCGGUGAGCUGCAGCGAGUUACGGCAACAACAACUAUCGCUAUAGGACAGGGGAAGGCUCCUUCUAUUAUAGGGGGACAGGUGAAAUAGGAUGAUGCCUAUAGGAGGAACAAGUGCGCAGGCACUGAGUCGUCCCCGGUUCGUUGGUCAAGGGCGUUAUCGUGGGGCUAGACGAUGAUUAGAGACCGUUUUACUCCACGUCGUAAACGAUGCUACCUCGCUGUGCGCUGUUCAAACACGUGCUUAGCGAAGAGAAAUCGAAGUGUACGACCCCUGGGGGGAGUAUGCUCGCAAGGGUGAAACUUGAAAGUAUUGACGGAAAGAUACCACCAGACGUGGAGUCUGCGGCUUAAUUUGACUCAACGCGCCAAUCUUACUAGACCCAGAUGCUUUACUGUACGUCAGACUGAGAGAUCUUACAUGAAUGAGCAGGUGGUGGUGCAUGGCCGCUCUUAGUUCGUGGUGUGAACUGUCUGCUUCAUUGCGUUAACGAGCGAGAUGGACUUGUGGAUCAAUUUCCAUGGAUCGCCAGUGAAGAGCUGGAUGAGAGUGUCCGCGCUAGCAGGUCUGUGAUGCCCUUAAACACUCUAGGCCGCACGCGUACUACAAUGGUACGGGCGAAGUCUCGCUUGGUAGGAAUACCGAGCUAUACCGAACCCGUAUCGUGGUUGGGACUGCAGGUUGGAAUUCUCCUGCACGAACGAGGAAUGUCUAGUAGGCCUGCAUCAUUAUUGCAAGCCGACUACGUCCCUGUCUUUUGUACACACCGCCCGUCGCUCCUACCGAUCCGGCACUUUAGUUGAGUUGCGAGGAGCGUUUACCUACGGUUGACGUGAAUUGUCGCGAAGCUGCAGUGCUAGAGGAAGGAGAAGUCGUAAC